AUGCUCCGUACCAACAAAAGUACUGCACACAUCUAGUUAUGCAUGUCUUAUUUGUCAUAUAUAAUUAACAUUUGAUCUCAUGCUUGGUAUGCCUAUGCAGUAUCCAUAUCUAUUUUUAAGUUUUAGCGACAUUGGUGGAUCAUCACGGCCACCCCAAUUGCCCACCCUUCUUAGUGUCAUGCUCUGCAUCAUGGGCAUGGUACAUAACGUCUCACUUCAGAAACUCCACAGCUAGUGUGCAUCAUGUGCCAGGUACAGAAAGCUAGUGUGCAUCUUGUGCCGGGUACAGGACAUGUGACUGUAUCGUAAUCCGAGUUCAGACAUAACGCCAAGCGUCUCGCAAAUGUGCCAGGUACAUUAUUUUAACCUGAACCCCUAGAUAAUGUGCCAGGCACAUUAUUCUUAAGCUUGGGAGUACCUGCAUGAUGACAGCGAAAUCAGAAACACAAUACAGAUUUCCUUUUGCGAACCCUUUUACUUGCCUACUUUGACCUGCAAAACACAGACAUCAAGUUUAAUCACCAAUUUCCGAACUGCACCCAAAACCAAACAACGAUUUGGGUGUACUGCUCCCAAAUAAACUACUCCAGACAGCAAAAUGGGGAUGCGCAAGCAAAAAAAUAUCACAUAUUCACCUGGGUGGAUCAGGACAAUACCAAACGGCGUGGGAUCUCCCCAGCGGCGGUGCCCCGGCGCGGGAUAGCAUCGGCGGCGAUUCCGGUGCCGCAGGCCCGGACCUGCCGCUGAUUCCCCGCCUCCCCUUGUCCCCUUGUCC
rnacentral:lncRNA from 1 species